rnacentral:tRNA from 1 species
AUCUAAUUAGUAUAAACAGUAUAAAAGACUUCCAAUCUUUGGGACCAAGCAUAUUUGGAUUAGAUA